rnacentral:rRNA from 1 species
GUGAGGAAUAUUGGUCAAUGGCCGCAGGGCUGAACCAGCCAAGUCGCGUGAGGGAGUGAGGCCCUACGGGUCGUAAACCUCUUUUGCCGGGGAGCAACGGCGCCCACGUGUGGGCGAAUGAGAGUACCCGGAGAAAAAGCAUCGGCUAACUCCGUGCCAGCAGCCGCGGUAAUACGGAGGAUGCGAGCGUUAUCCGGAUUUAUUGGGUUUAAAGGGUGCGCAGGCGGGCUCUCAAGUCAGCGGUAAAAUCGCGGGGCUCAACCCCGCCGAGCCGUUGAAACUGGGGGCCUUGAGUGGGCGAGAGGCAUGCGGAAUGCGUGGUGUAGCGGUGAAAUGCAUAGAUAUCACGCAGAACGCCGAUUGCGAAGGCAGCAUGCCGGCGCCCUACUGACGCUGAGGCACGAAAGCGCGGGUAUCGAACAGG